rnacentral:rRNA from 1 species
UGCCGCGUGAAUGAUGAAGGUCUUAGGAUUGUAAAAUUCUUUCACCGGGGACGAUAAUGACGGUACCCGGAGAAGAAGCCCCGGCUAACUUCGUGCCAGCAGCCGCGGUAAUACGAAGGGGGCUAGCGUUGCUCGGAAUUACUGGGCGUAAAGGGAGCGUAGGCGGACUGUUUAGUCAGAGGUGAAAGCCCAGGGCUCAACCUUGGAAUUGCCUUUGAUACUGGCAGUCUUGAGUACGGAAGAGGUAUGUGGAACUCCGAGUGUAGAGGUGAAAUUCGUAGAUAUUCGGAAGAACACCAGUGGCGAAGGCGACAUACUGGUCCGUUACUGACGCUGAGGCUCGAAAGCGUGGGGAGCAAACAGGAUUAGAUACCCUGGUAGUCCACGCUGUAAACGAUGAGUGCUAGUUGUCGGCAGGCAUGCCUGUCGGUGACGCAGCUAACGCAUUAAGCACUCCGCCUGGGGA